AAUCUUUCUGGGACUUAUAGAGAAAGCAGUCAAUGGAUGAAAAAAACAUUUCUUAUUUUCCUGAGUAAUAACUUAGGCAUAACCCUCAAUUCUCCACUCAAGGUAGAAAACUAUCGCUCUAAAUCAGGGUGAAACGUCAGAGGGUAGGUUGGGCUGCUCUGUGGGCUUUAUAAAUUUAUGCUCCUUGCCUCGCUGAGAAAUUCUGUAGGGUUGAGGAAUGACACAUACAGUGACACCUCCCAGAGAACAUAUAUGGCUCCAUAUUUGGAAUAUAUUCCAGGCACUGCACCCCCAGUAUAAACCUCUCCAACACUCAGUCAUCAAGGAGGGGAACACGA
rnacentral:lncRNA from 1 species